UACAGAGGUCCCGAGCGUUGUUCGGAUUCAUUGGGCGUAAAGGGUGCGUAGGCGGUUUCCUAAGUUUGAUGUGAAAUCCCGGGGCUCAACCCUGGAAUUGCAUUGAAUACUGGGAGACUAGAGUACUGGAGAGGAAACUGGAAUUUACGGUGUAGCAGUGAAAUGCGUAGAGAUCGUAAGGAAGACCAGUGGCGAAGGCGAGUUUCUGGACAGUAACUGACGCUGAGGCACGAAGGCCAGGGGAGCAAACGGG
rnacentral:rRNA from 1 species